rnacentral:rRNA from 1 species
ACGAACGCUGGCGGCGUGCUUAACACCUGCAAGUCGAACGGAAAGGCCCUGCUUUUGUGGGGUGCUCGAGUGGCGAACGGGUGAGUAACACGUGAGUAACCUGCCCUUGACUUUGAGAUAACUUCAGGAAACUGGGGCUAAUACCGGAUAGGAGCUCCUGCUGCAUGGUGGGGGUUGGAAAGUUUCGGCGGUUGGGGAUGGACUCGCGGCUUAUCAGCUUGUUGGUGGGGUAGUGGCUUACCAAGGCUUUGACGGGUAGCCGGCCUGAGAGGGUGACCGGCCACAUUGGGACUGAGAUACGGCCCAGACUCCUACGGGAGGCAGCAGUGGGGAAUAUUGCACAAUGGGCGGAAGCCUGAUGCAGCAACGCCGCGUGCGGGAUGACGGCCUUCGGGUUGUAAACCGCUUUCGCCUGUGACGAAGCGUGAGUGACGGUAAUGGGUAAAGAAGCACCGGCUAACUACGUG